rnacentral:rRNA from 1 species
AUUGAACGCUGGCGGCAGGCCUAACACAUGCAAGUCGAACGAGUGGCGGACGGGUGAGUAAUGUCUGGGAAACUGCCUGAUGGAGGGGGAUAACUACUGGAAACGGUAGCUAAUACCGCAUACCAUCAGAUGUGCCCGGAUGGGAUUAGCUUGUUGGUGGGGUAACGGCUCACAAAGGCAACGAGCCCUAGCUGGUCUGAGAGGAUGACAAGCCACACUGGAACUUAGAAACGGUCCAGAGUCCCACGGGAGGCAGCAGUGGGGAAGAGGGGACUAUGGGCGAAAGCCUGAUGCAGCCAUGCAGCGUGUAUGAAGAAGGCCUGCGGGUUGUAAAGUACUUUCAGCGGGGAGGCGUUACCCGCAGAAGAAGCACCGGCUAACUCCGUGCCAGCAGCCGCGGUAAUAC